UACGGGGGGAGCAAGCGUUGUUCGGAUUUACUGGGCGUAAAGGGCGCGUAGGCGGCGUGACAAGUCACUUGUGAAAUCUCCGGGCUUAACUCGGAACGGUCAAGUGAUACUGUCGUGCUAGAGUACAGAAGGGGCAACUGGAAUUCUCGGUGUAGCGGUGAAAUGCGCAGAUAUCGGGAGGAACACCGAUGGCGAAGGCAAUCCCCUGGGCCUGCACUGACGCUCAUGCACGAAAGCGUGGGGAGCAAACAGG
rnacentral:rRNA from 1 species